AGUGAACGCUGGCGGUAGGCCUAACACAUGCAAGUCGAACGGCAGCACAGUAAGAGCUUGCUCUUACGGGUGGCGAGUGGCGGACGGGUGAGGAAUACAUCGGAAUCUACUUUUUCGUGGGGGAUAACGUAGGGAAACUUACGCUAAUACCGCAUACGACCUACGGGUGAAAGCAGGGGAUCUUCGGACCUUGCGCGAUUGAAUGAGCCGAUGUCGGAUUAGCUAGUUGGCGGGGUAAAGGCCCACCAAGGCGACGAUCCGUAGCUGGUCUGAGAGGAUGAUCAGCCACACUGGAACUGAGACACGGUCCAGACUCCUACGGGAGGCAGCAGUGGGGAAUAUUGGACAAUGGGCGCAAGCCUGAUCCAGACAUACCGCGUGGGUGAAGAAGGCCUUCGCGUUGUAAAGCCCUUUUGUUGGGAAAGAAAAGCAGCAGGUUAAUACCCCGCUGUUCUGACGGUACCCAAAGAAUAAGCACCGGCUAACUUCGUG
rnacentral:rRNA from 1 species